GCACGCGAAGCCGAGCGGUGAGGCACCGGAUUGCAAACCCGGCAGUUGCGAGUUCGAAUCUCGUCGCGUGCU
rnacentral:tRNA from 1 species